ACGGAUUGAAAAGCAUUAAAAAAAUUAAAGGAAAUCGAUCGUAAUUGGAAGUAAGCAUUAUUAGUUUCUCGGACCUCUAAGCCCAGAUAAGAUAAACUGUCGAUGAAAUAACAACCUCAGAGACGUUAGUGAUUCUAUCCCACCACCGUCAGCUAACUCAAGACCAAGCGUCAGGGUACCCAUGGGUGUAUUUAUACACUCCACCGACGGACCCCCUGCUGGCGGCCUUCAUUGGGGACCACCCCCGCGACCGGUGCCUCACGCGCCGCCGCCGCCACCGCCCCCACAGGACGACACGUGCUGCAACUGUGGUGGACCUUACGGCGGAUGCUGCGGCUGUGGACCAAGCGGAUGCUGCGGACCUCCAGGACCGGAAACCAGAUGCAUCUGGAUCUGCGCGAUUCUAUAAAGACAAUUUAGUUUGCUAACAAAAACAUAGUGCCGAAAUUCUACUAGGAAGUUUUGUGCUUGUGGCUCUAGUAAAACGUUCUGUCUUUUUCGGAUCCAAGGUCUUUGAUGCGUACUGCUAGGAAAGUCAUAUAAUAGGAUUAGAUAAAUCAAUCAACGACAACGCAUUGCUGCUGAUUAGAUAAAAACAAUGCCAAUCAAACCUAUUUAUAAAAAUGUGAUUUAACUUUUGACGGUUGGAGUUCGGUAAUCGAUUUUGUAAAUUAUCCGCAGCAACAACUGUUAAGCAAAAACUCAAAAUGUCGUCACAUCAACACGCCCACGUUGAAAUGCACCACCACCAGGAACGCAGGGUGGAACACCACCAUCAAGAAGUCCAUUCGCAUCCCCCGCAGCACCACGAUCCACCACAUCAUCACCCUCCGCCGCCCCAUCAUCACCAAGGACCGCCUCCAGACGACAACGGCUGUUGCUGCCUCUGCACGAUCCUGUAGACCGUCGAAGUGGUUCAAUUUUUGAUAUUUUAAAGCGGCCGUAUAAUGAUAAAUCGACACAUUAUUGGAAAAAUAAAAAAAAUGAAAAUUGAAAUUUAUAGCGUCCCUUUUUCUGCGCAGAAAAUUUGUGUUUCGUUUGGGUAAACAAUUGCGAUUCUGGGUAAAGGAUCGACGUACACAUUUGCACGACGAUGACUCAGUCGGUUCGUGAAAAUUUUGUCAACAUCGAUAACCAGAGAUGACUAGAUGAUAUCUCCCCGCGGCGGUCUGAUAAAAAUGUAUCGCAACUGUCGUACCGCCAUACGUUUGGUGAUAAGUGUGUAAAUUGUACAUCGGUACCAAGAAAAAUCGAACGCGAAUGGCGAUCUACAACGAAGGACGCCUAUCAAAUGGUCUGCACCAUGGACCUCACGGGGGAGGACCUCAUCACCACGGUGGAGGUCAUUUCGGCCCUUCGCACCACGGUCCAGGUCAUUUUGGCCCUUCUCACCACGGUCCAAGUCAUUUUGGCCCUCCCCAUCACCACCACAGCGGUCCCCCGCCUUUUCUACCGCCACCCCAUAUCCAUGGGCAUCGACGAAGAUCUGUAAUAUGUUGCACCAUUUUGUAAGGUUUCGGAUGUUGGCUUACGUGUUUUGUUGAUUUUUUAUGGCUGUGUCAUACAUUUUGGAAGAGAAUAGAUUAUUAAAUAAAAAGCUAAACUAUUUCUUUUUCUUUUAUGCGCUUUUAACAUUCAUUCUAGCAUUUUCUAAGUGAACCCACGCUGUACAACUUUUGUCAUUAUUUAACCUCGGCAUUAUACAAUCGAACAACUAAAUUUUGAUAAAGCUAACAAUUUUAAAGGACAUAUUGUUAAUUAUAUCAAAUCAGGGAAUAGGUUGGCAUUUAAUUUUCAAAACUAUCGAAGGUAUGAUCAUCUCUCGGCGAUCAGUACGAACUAGUGCUGCUCUUCUGAUUGACCAUCAAUAAGCCUCCAGAUCGCCAGAAUCUAGAUAUGGUCGAAGUUACUUCCCAAAGUCUUCCUAAAGUGUCUGUUGGACAGAUACGCUUUGUCCUUGAUUAAUUGGAUUGAAUUUAGAUGUACACAUUAAGGACAAUCGUUGCAAACACGAAAUUGCUAAUGAUUUUGAUAAUAUCGGCGCAGGGAGAUAAGAUAAGAUUCUAGGAUUUUCAUUCCACACCAACUUUACACCCGCUACAAUAUUUUUGUCCCCAGUCAAUAAUACACGGAUUCAAAGCAAGUCUCUUAGUUAACAAGGCAAUUUCGCGGGAACUCUAUCGUAGGCGUAAAGAAUGGCAGCUUUUGACAUUGCACCCCCCGUUUUACAUCACGGACCACACGGCGGGGGACCACAUCACGGACCUCCACACCACGGACCUCCGCACCACGGACCACCGCACCAUCACGGAGGACCGCCCAGGGGGGUGGUGUGCUGCACUAUCCUUUAAAACCCGAGAUUUAAUUUUAUGUAGGACCUUAUCCGCUAUUAAAAAAAUGUACUUUUAUAAAAUUUUUGCCCCGUUACUAAUAUAAAGUAACGGUCGGGUAGGAAUAAGUUUCUUUGGAUUAACUGGGAAUUACCGCAUUUUUUUUUAUGAAGGGUAUAAUGAAUAAAACAACCUAUCAGAAUAAUUUAUU